rnacentral:rRNA from 1 species
UUGAAGAGUUUGAUCAUGGCUCAGAUUGAACGCUGGCGGCAGGCCUAACACAUGCAAGUCGAACGGUAACAGGAAGCAGCUUGCUGCUUUGCUGACGAGUGGCGGACGGGUGAGUAAUGUCUGGGAAACUGCCUGAUGGAGGGGGAUAACUACUGGAAACGGUGGCUAAUACCGCAUAACGUCGCAAGACCAAAGAGGGGGACCUUCGGGCCUCUUGCCAUCAGAUGUGCCCAGAUGGGAUUAGCUUGUUGGUGAGGUAACGGCUCACCAAGGCGACGAUCCCUAGCUGGUCUGAGAGGAUGACCAGCCACACUGGAACUGAGACACGGUCCAGACUCCUACGGGAGGCAGCAGUGGGGAAUAUUGCACAAUGGGCGCAAGCCUGAUGCAGCCAUGCCGCGUGUAUGAAGAAGGCCUUCGGGUUGUAAAGUACUUUCAGCGGGGAGGAAGGUGUUGUGGUUAAUAACCACAGCAAUUGACGUUACCCGCAGAAGAAGCACCGGCUAACUCCGUGCCAGCAGCCGCGGUAAUACGGAGGGUGCAAGCGUUAAUCGGAAUUACUGGGCGUAAAGCGCACGCAGGCGGUCUGUCAAGUCGGAUGUGAAAUCCCCGGGCUCAACCUGGGAACUGCAUUCGAAACUGGCAGGCUUGAGUCUUGUAGAGGGGGGUAGAAUUCCAGGUGUAGCGGUGAAAUGCGUAGAGAUCUGGAGGAAUACCGGUGGCGAAGGCGGCCCCCUGGACAAAGACUGACGCUCAGGUGCGAAAGCGUGGGGAGCAAACAGGAUUAGAUACCCUGGUAGUCCACGCCGUAAACGAUGUCUACUUGGAGGUUGUGCCCUUGAGGCGUGGCUUCCGGAGCUAACGCGUUAAGUAGACCGCCUGGGGAGUACGGCCGCAAGGUUAAAACUCAAAUGAAUUGACGGGGGCCCGCACAAGCGGUGGAGCAUGUGGUUUAAUUCGAUGCAACGCGAAGAACCUUACCUUGGUCUUGACAUCCACAGAACUUUCCAGAGAUGGAUUGGUGCCUUCGGGAACUGUGAGACAGGUGCUGCAUGGCUGUCGUCAGCUCGUGUUGUGAAAUGUUGGGUUAAGUCCCGCAACGAGCGCAACCCUUAUCCUUUGUUGCCAGCGGUCCGGCCGGGAACUCAAAGGAGACUGCCAGUGAUAAACUGGAGGAAGGUGGGGAUGACGUCAAGUCAUCAUGGCCCUUACGACCAGGGCUACACACGUGCUACAAUGGCGCAUACAAAGAGAAGCGACCUCGCGAGAGCAAGCGGACCUCAUAAAGUGCGUCGUAGUCCGGAUUGGAGUCUGCAACUCGACUCCAUGAAGUCGGAAUCGCUAGUAAUCGUGGAUCAGAAUGCCACGGUGAAUACGUUCCCGGGCCUUGUACACACCGCCCGUCACACCAUGGGAGUGGGUUGCAAAAGAAGUAGGUAGCUUAACCUUCGGGAGGGCGCUUACCACUUUGUGAUUCAUGACUGGGGUGAAGUCGUAACAAGGUAACCGUAGGGGAACCUGCGGUUGGAUCACCUCCUU